AACGAACGCUGGCGGCAUGCCUAACACAUGCAAGUCGAACGAGACCUUCGGGUCUAGUGGCGCACGGGUGCGUAACGCGUGGGAACCUGCCCUUAGGUUCGGAAUAACUCCCCGACAGGGGUGCUAAUACCGGUUAAUGUCUUCGAACCAAAGAUUUAUCGCCUUUGGAUGGGCCCGCGUUGGAUUAGCUAGUUGGUAGGGUAAAAGCCUCCCAAGGCGACGAUCCAUAGCUGGUCUGAGAGGAUGACCAGCCACACUGGGACUGGGACACGGCCCAGACUCCUACGGGAGGCAGAGGUGGGGAAUAUGGGAAAAUGGGCGAAAGCCUGAUCAAGCAAGGCCGCGGGAGUGAGGAAGGCCUUAGGGUUGUAAAGCUCUUUUACCCGGGAUGAUAAUGACAGUACCGGGAGAAUAAGCUCCGGCUAACUCCGUG
rnacentral:rRNA from 1 species